rnacentral:tRNA from 2 species
AUUUAUAUAGUUUAAAAUAAAACAUUACAUUUUCACUGUAAAAAUAAUAUUCAUAUAUUUAUAAAUA